rnacentral:lncRNA from 1 species
AAGUAAAAAUACUUUAUUUACUAAUUGAGGCAGAUAUCCUGAAUAAUUAAAUAAACCUUAUUAUCAAACUUAUUGCUAAUAUGAGAUAGGCAGAAUGACACAAAUAAAUCAUUGUCGUCAAAAAGUCAAAUAAAACGAAUGUAAAAAGAACAAAAAAUAAAGAAAAAGGCCAUAGGCGCCCCAAGCAUAUUUUCCUUGUUUUCUUGCUAUCCGGUGCUCUAAGGAAGAUAGUAUGCAAUGACUCCAUGUGAUGAUAGUAGCGUUGAGUCUCUUUGAAACUCCACUGUGAAAGUCUCAAAUUAAGACCCCAUGUGCUCAAGAGUGUACACGUAAAGGAAAGCGAAAUAAAGAAUUAACAAAAUAACUUAAGAGUUCAAUGAAUAUAUGAAAGGAUAAGAAGGAUUAGAGGGUGGAACUUGAUUCUUAACAAUAUAUCCAGAUUAAAAAUAUGCAAGGACGUCCUAGUGUCAAAUUAUUUAAUAAAAUUUCAGUCAUACUUGUCAUCACACAAACAUACAACUAUACGAAAGAUAAAUAUUUCCAGCUAUUUAGACUAGUAGCAAAAAAAGAAAACUCUCUAAUAACUGAAAUAUAAAUUUAAGUGAUAAUCACACAACAACAUGGACAUAUUUCAUCAAGACAUAAACUUUAUCUUAAUAAAGUCAUCGACACUUUUAAAUUCAAAUACUAACCAGCACAAAGAAAUAGGCACAAAAGUUCUAUAACUAUGUUUCUUAAAGAAAGAAUUUGGAUAGCUAAUACUAAAGUAAAUCAAGUCUUCACUUUAUAGUGUGCAUUUAAAUAAAUCUAUUCUUAAACAAAUUGUUGGAAUUUUAAGCACGAUAUUUAGGAAAGGUCUUGAAUCACAAUGGCAAAUAUCUUUUGCAGGGCAACUAGAUCAUGAUAAAAUCCUUCUUAAAAUUAUGGCAUAUAACAGAGAAGUAUGCAAAAGGAAAAAAGUAUUUUCACGGGAGCAUUUACAUCAAAUAUAUGUCGGGCAUGCUUUUAACAAUACAUACCAGAACACAAUGUCCUCACAGGAUUAGUCCUAAUUACAUUAGUCAUAGAUCAUUCCCUUUAACAAACAUGUAUUAGAGCCAUUUUUAUAGCAUCAGACAUAAAAGCUUAAUAGAAGCUAACAAUCCUCGCAACAAACACGCAUCAGGAAUCAAAAAAUCAGAAUCAAAACGAGAGUGAUCGGAGAAGAUACGGACCUUUUGUAGGGCAUCGAACCAAGGCAGGGUCUUAGAUGCACUAUCUAACUCCGCCCUCUGAACUUGCUACUCGAACUAACCAUUAAUCGCCGGGACAAAUAAAUAAUUAAAAAAAAACGCUUCUGCUUUGGUUACAAAACAAUAGAACUGAGAGAUUGAAAGAAGAAGCCCUUUUUAGAGACAGAGAUAGCGGCUAAAGAAAGGUAAAAUUUGUCCAGCAAUGAGUGUUCCAAUAACAUAGUUUUGGCCAUGUCUUGCAGAGUUCUAUUCUUUCUUUCAACAAUUCCAUUUUGCUGAGGUGAUCGGAGCUAGAGAAAUUAUGGGUGUAACUAUGGUCGUUACAGAAAUCUUUGAAUGCCUUACUUUCAAACUCGCCUCCAUGAUCACUUUGGAUUAUGGAGAUUUGAUAGCCAUUUUCUCUUUCAAUUCUCUUACAGAAAAUUUCAAAGUUUCAUCUUUGUGAGACAGAAAAAUCACCCAAGUGAAACAUAAAAAAUCAUCAACAAUAGCAAAUGCAUAUUUCUUGCCAUCUAUGCUAGCAGCUCUAGUUUGGCCAAAUAAAUCCAUAUGAACUAGUUGCAAAGGUUUUGACGUAGAAACUAUGUGUUUGUUUUUGAAAGAGUUUCUAGUUUGCUUACCCAUCUGACAUACAUCACAAAUAUGAGUUCUAGAGAAGUUCAGUUUGGGUAACCCGAUGACUAAAUCAUGUUUGGACAGUUUUUCGAUUAAAUUAAUGCUAGCAUGUCCUAAUCUUCUGUGCCAUAACCAAGGAUCAUCAGAAAUAGAUGUUAAGCAUAUAUGAAUGAUUAAAUGUAUGCUAGCAUGUCCUAAUCUUCUGUGCCAUAACUAAUGGUUAUCAUAUAUAGAUAUUAAGCAUAUAUGUCCAUCUAUAUUUUUAAAACCAUCAAAUAUAUAAACGUUUCCAUACCUUUUUCCUGAAGAAUUAUUUUACCUGAUUCGUCUUCGAUGGCACAUCCAGUGCUCUUGAAUUAUAAUCUCAUAUCCUGAGUCACAAAGUUGACUUAUGCUGAGGAGAUUGUAGUUUAGUCCAUCAACUAGAUACACUUCAGUAAUAUCACAACUAUUGUUGAACGGAGCAGUUCCAGUGCCAACUAUUUUGCUUUGAGUCAUCUCCAAAUUUGACACUUCCUCCAUUAAUUUUUGUGAUUUCUUUAAACAAGUUUUGUCACCUAUCAUGCGACUGUAACACGCACUGUUUAGAUAUAAUUUUCCUUUGCGUUUUACUCUAUGGUGUUCCUGCAACACAAAAUUAUUACUUUCUGUUAGGUGCCCAAUCUUUCUUGGGUCCUAGUGAGUUAGUGUUACUAGAUUCAGGAUUCUUAAGUUUCCAAAUCCAUCCGGAAAUAUGAGAUUUACGAAAGUGACAACCAGAAUACUUAUGUCCGCUUUUACUGCAGUAAGGACAUUUAACACUAGACCCCUUUUCGGGUCUCUCAUGGGAGUUGGACUUAGUAGUUAUAGGGUUUGCUGAUUCCUUUCCAGUUGACUUGUAAGUCGACUGGUCGAUCUUGUUAUGAUUCGUUCUUUUGCAGUUGACUUGUAAGUCAAUUGAUUAGACCUAACAGAACUGUGAUUAGUGAAUUUGCUCAAGCUGUUAAACUGCAUUUGCAAUUUCUCAAACUGUUCUUGAAGUACUUCUUUUCCAAUUUUAUAUACUUCAUGUUUGAGUUUCCAGUCUUUGACUUCCCUGGUGAGCUUUUUAAGCUCGUUCAUCAUCCUUUGAGAUUCUUUAAGGGUGGAGUCAAGAAUGUCUUGCAAUUCAUUGCAUCUUUUACUGUCAUAAGAUCUUACCUCGCUAGUUUCUCCCUUUGACAUGAAGCAAUUUUCAUCGUCUGAAUCGUCUUCAUCCGUCCAGCAUCCUGGAGUUCUAUUGAUCUCGUUUUCUAGAAUCAUCAUGAAGCAUAGAUUUGAUAUUUCUUCAUGGUCUGAAUCAUCCUCAUCACUCCAGCUUCCAAACGAUCUGUUCUUGUUGAAUCCUCUAGAGAUCGUUUUCUUUAGUUCUGGCACUCCGCUUGGAUGUGUCCAAACUUUCCACAUUCAUAGCAGUUUACACCAUUCUUGUUUUGAUCGUUAUAUUGUCUAGAUUUUUUCUUUAGUUCUGGGCACUUCGCUUGGAUGUGUACAAAAUUUUCACAUUCAUAGCACUUUCCAUCAUUCUUGUCUUGAUCGUAAUAUUGUCUAGAUCUUCUUGGUGGAAAUUUUCCUUUCUUUGUAUUUCUAUAUCUUCUCAUUAGCCCGUCCAUGUUUAUAGACAUCACAUCAAUUUCUUCUUGUAGGGAUUCAGGAUCAUCAAUUUCAUUCUCAACUGCCUUAGUGGUAGCUUUGAAUGCAACAGUUUUCUUUUUCUCUUCUUGAUUUGUCUUUUCAAAUGUGUUCUUUCAAAAGCAAUGAGUUCUCCUCUUAGUUCAUCAUAAGAUAGUUUAUUCAGAUCUUGAGAUUCCAAAGUGAUAACUUUAGUCUGCCAAGUGGUUGGUAGACUCCUAAGAAAUUUUUCUGACUUGAUCGCCACUGGUGUAGGGUUUGCCAAAAGCUUUUAAAUCACUGAUUAUCUUGCUAAACCUGGCAAAUAUUUCUUCGAUGUAUUCUCCUUCUUUCAUGGAGAAAAGUUCAUAAUCGUGAAGGAACAUAUUUAUGCGAGUUUCUUUUACUUUGCUGGCACCUUCAUAGGUGACUUCGAGUUUGUCCCACAUUUCCUUUGCGUUAUAGUAACUGGAAAUCUUCUCAUCAUCACUUAUUGCAUUGUGAAGCAUAUUCCUUGCCUUGUGGUUUAUUUGAACAGUUUCCAAUUGCUCUUUUGAAUAUGAAUUAAUGUUAUCAGGGUCGGUGAGCAGAGGAGUGCUGACAGACAAUGUGUAAUUCCCUUUCUUGAUAACUCUCCAUACUUUGACAUCGUAUGCUUUGGUGAAGAUUUCCAUGCGAAUUUUCCAGUGGGAGAAGUGUUCUCCAUUGAAGUAGGAUGGUCUUACUUGAGAGGUUCCUUCUUGAAACAGAGCUCCAACAGUAACCUGAUUUGCCAUGAUCUUUUUUUCUCACAAGCUGUUAAGCAAAAGUAAAAAGUGUGAGCCUAGCUCUGAUACCAAUUGAAUGUACAAGAUGGGGGGGGGAGAUUGUAGUUUAGUCCAUCAACUAGAUACACUUCAGUAAUAUCACAUCUGUUGUUGAAUGGAACAGUUCCAGUGUCAACUAUCUUGCCUUUUGAGUCGUCUCCAAAUUUGACACUUCCUCCAUCAAUUUUAUUAGUCGACUUAAUAUGGCAAUGCUGCAGAUGGAAAGAUUAAAGAGAGUUAUUCAGAAAAUAAAUGCAGAAAUGUAAAGACACUCAGAUUUUUAUACUGGUUCGGAUUCAAUGUGAAUCCUAAUCCAGUCUCCUUGGGUUGCAAGGGAUUUCUCUUCAGAUAAAUGACUUUCUUUUGAGUACAUAUUCGAUAUUUGUCGCACAGUCUUGUAUCACUCGUUUUGAUACAAUAUCUCACCAUUUGAGAACUCUCUUUCUAUCCCUACCUUGUUACACAGUCAACCUAUCUAGACUACUAUGCUUGUUUGCAGAGAGCUAUUUUGGUUCGAUCAAAGUAUACUAAGGUUAAGGUUGCACUAGGAAUUUAUACAGCAAGAGGAUGGUGAAGGCUUUUCAACCCAAGGGUUUUGAUCCUUGGAAAGAGUUGAUUCUUUCCAAGAAUAAGGCCCUAGCAGUUGCCUCAAUCGUCAACCCAAGGAUUUUAAUCCUUGGAAAUAGUUGAUUCUUUCCAAGAAUAAGGCACUAUUCGUUGCUUCAAUUCAUAUCCUUUCCCUUUGGCUAGAGAUAUGAUUUGACAAAGUUCUUCCUUGAGUAUUGGGCCUUCCAGUCUUGAUUGCUGUCCAGAUCUUCCGCUAUCAAUUGUCUUCAGUGAUAGGACUUACUCAUCCAUUAAGGAUUGCAUUGAAUCUUUUAUUUCAUCAGGGCGUCACACCUCCUUUUUCACUACACCCGCAAGGGCGUAAAGGAGUUUUUUCAAUUAAAGGACAAUCUGAACGAGAUUUAUUAUUAAGGUUUCUGAGUCACCACUUGGGAGAUUAAUGGUGUCCAAAAUUACCGGUUGAAUCCCGAACCUAGGAAAAUAUGACUUUGAUAACAGUCAACGUGAUUUAAUUAUUAAUUAUCAGAGUUGCCACUUGGGAGAUUAAUAGUGUCCCAAGUGACUGGUUGAAUCCCGAACCGAGCAAGAUUAUGACUCUGUUAACAGUCCGCGAACCAAAAAUCUGAGUAAGGAACUCUGUUAACCCGGGAGAAGGUAUUAGACAUUCCCGGAUUUCGUGGUUCUAGCAUAGUCGCUUAACUAUUGUAUUUGAUUUUAUCUGAUUUUAAUACAUGCUAGCUUAUGUGCCUUUAUUCGUGAACCGCUUUUACCAUUACAUUAAAAGAAUUGCAACGUCAUGAAAAUGCAUCUCGAACCACGUCACAAUCAAUGCACCAGUGAUUGUCAACACAUUUCGACUCCAUUGAAAUUUGGAUUUGGUUCACAUAAAUGUGCACCCGAAUUUAAGAGUAUAAUUUUAUUAAGAUUAUGCUUAAAGAGUCCAACGUAUUAUUAUUUUGGGGAAGGCCGUGAAAUUUGCUGAAUGGCCCUCCCGAAUUCUAAGUAUUUUCAUAUGACAUUUAUUGAGGACCCCGUAAUUUUGUAUUUUAUUGGGCGAGGCCCGUCUCAUUUUAUUUUUUUAAAAGGGCAAGCAUAAAAGCAACUACAAUUUUUUAUUUUUGUGUUUUUUUGUCUAUACAAAUAAAGAAAAGAUCCUACUUAAUUAAUGUUGUUUUAGAGCUACUUCCAUCGAUUUAUGAACCACCAAAUCCUUUUGGGCUUUGCAACAGGCCCUAGGAGAGACCAUGGCACAGACGAGUAUAAGAAGAAUAUCAGUCUGGCCCAGGUACAGGGAAUAGUUAAUCUGUUGGCUCAAAAUGAGCCCAAUCCCAAGAUCAAGAGGAAAACACAUAGGCAUCAUGCCUGCUAACAUUACCACGAACAGACUCGGCAUUUUCAACACAGGAAAGAGCGAAUCAUAGCUACUUAAGCUCAAAAGGAUACUGACUAUUUGAACUUUAACUUCCAAUCUCAAUUGUUUUCAUUUACUGGCUCCUAUUGAAUUUUUAAGUACUAAUAAGGUAGAUCACAAUUUAGACAACAACGAAUUUAUUGUGUAUUCAACAUGCUGAUUGUUUUCGAGUUGGUUUUAACUAACAAUUAAGUCAAACGACUUAUGAACUUGAGGGUGAGCUACUGCAAUUACCAAUCUGUUCCAACUAAUAACUAACUAAUUAAAAUCAAGGACUAAUUUUCAGCCAAAAUUAGGACAGUCCACACCUAUGUGAGCUACAAUUAUGUUCAUUAUCGGCCAGCUACAAAGUAACAAAUGAAAAGUUCGAACUAGCCUGAGGUAACCCCAUUAACAGUCCACAAAUUAGUAACAGUCUCUAUUAUCACAUGUCCAACACGAAUUAAUCAUUCCAAAUGAACACAAAAAAAAAAAAAAAAAUGUAUAUGAACUAAGGCAACAACAAAAUGCUUGCACUUCAAUUUCUCUUUCAAUUUAUUUUUAUUCAGCUCGCAGUCAAAUAUAUCACUCAACAGUGGAGAUAAGUACCUGAAAUAGCAAUGAAAUGGAAGAGAGGAGAUGGUUCAAUAGCAGUAACACACAGCAGGUCACAACAACCACAUAUUUGAGUUCAAAUAACACCAACCAACCCAGUUUCUACCCAGAAAUAUAUUUAUCAGUCCAGGAAGAGUUCAGAAAUGUUUAAAAACCAACAAGGUCAAUGGAUCAAGCCAACACAGAUUUGAAUACACCCAAAUAACCUUCAAAUUGAACCCAAAAUCACUUAAAUUUUCCAGCAAACCAGAGCUUCACCAAAAUCGAGCUAAAUAGACCAAAAUACUCGGAGUCCAGCCAAUUAACUUCCACAUAAAUUCAGCAAACCAGUAGGAUACUAAGAUCACUGACUAAAAUUGAAACUAGCCUAAAAUUCCUAAUGAAAUAGUAACUUUUUUUUUUUUGUUUUUUUUUUUUUUUUUUUGGUUUUAAAUUGAAACUAGCCUAAAAUUCCUAAUGAAAUAGUAACUUUUUUUUUUUUUUUUUUUUUUUUUUUUUUUGGUUUUUGAAAUCUGAGUUUCUACUUCAAAGCUGAAAGAACUAAAGAGAGGAAAUUGUUUUUGGGAUUAGAUCGCCGUAAAGAAGACCCCUCCUAAGGCAUGAGAAUGCCAAUUUAUAGGCACCAAAAGGGUGAACAAUUAGAAUUUUGACUUGUUACUCAAGUAAGUGCGCACUUAUUUGGCUGAAAUUUACACUAAAG